CCAAGAUGGGGGAACCCAUUUAAAAAUGCAGGCAGCCUUCCUGCCAAGCAACUGGCUCAAAAUGGACGACUGUUCUAUAAGCAGGACACCAGGACGCCUGCUCAGGGGCCUAGACUCUAACAGCUCCCCCGGCCCAUGGAAAUGUUGACUUAAAAAUGGCUCAGCCCAACGUGGCAGUGAGACUUGUGGGUUCCUGCCAAAUGUCCAGCGUCCGACCGCAGCCCCCACCUCCAUGCUAUCACCUUGAUUCAGGUCCCCUUCGUCACCUCUCCUGGUUUGCUGUGACAGCCCCUAACUGGGCUCCUUGCUUCCAUCCUCGUCUGUAGAAACCGACCUGUCUCAAGGCUACAUGUUUUUUAACCUUUUCAUUUUAAAAUGAAACUCGGUUACCAAAAAAACACAUAAAAAUGCAUAGCUUCGUGAAAUAGUAUAAACGAACAUCCUUAUAUCCUGGACCAAGUCAAGAACUAGCACUUUGCCAGAAGUCUGUCUGUGGCCGCACGCCAGUCUACAGCCCCGCUCCCCACUCCAGAGCGGCCACCCCUCUGACUCACAGUGAACACCUCGCGGUCCAUCUCCGCAGCGUCGCCAGCCGAGGUGUCUCCUCAGACCCUGUGGCUAAUGUGACUGAUUCCAUAGAUCUUGGUAGGUCUUUAAAGUCCACAGGAUAUCCUUCUGUGCCUCUUUUCCUGAGAAUUCCUCUGUUGCAGUCCUGGGCCAUGGGACCGGUAGAGUUUCUCACCAUCUGGAUUCUGGUAAUUCCUUAUUUAUGGUCAGUCAGCGUCAUCCACACAUUCCCUCCAUCCUCCAUAUUUCUUGAAAAAUGGCAGCUAGAUCCAGGAGGCUUGGUCAGAAUUAUGUCCGAAACUGGAAAAAAAAAAAGUUCUGAAUUAUAAAGGAGGUCUUGGAGAACCGCAGGAGAUAACGUGAGAAGGUUGGGCCAUGAUGUUCAUCCCACCAACCAAAGACCACUGGGACUUUAGCUGCAGUCAGUCAUGGUUCCAUUUGUUUAGCUUGCUGCAACAGAGGAGAUCCUCCACCACAGGCCUGGAGCAUUUCGGAACAAUGGAAGAGCAACGGUUGGUCAAAACCAAUCUUGACUCUCCCAAGCACCAUGCCCGAUACUUUCAGAUGCCCCCUGAAGAAAGGGCUGCCCUGUGGCCUCAUUCUGGCCAAGGAGACCUGAGAGAAUGUGUGAUGGAGCUCCUAGGAAAGGUCUGUAUCCUUAUAAAAAGGACAGGUGCAAAAAAGAUGCUCCCUGAACUGCC